CGGUCNCCCGGAGCGACCGCCUAAGGUAGGACUGGUGACUGGGGUGAAGUCGUAACAAGGUAUCCCUACGAGAACGUGGGGAUGGAUCACCUCCUUUCAACGGAGUACACAAUGUUAUGGAAAAAUUAUUUGUAUCCAGUUUUGAGAGAUUUAUCUCUCUUUUUGUUCUUUGAAAACUGAAUAUCGACAUUGAAAAAUUAAAUUAUUAAUAUUUCAAAGUUUAGAUCAACCUAUAGAAUAUAUCAUACAAUAGACAAACAAUAGGUCUUAUACUACUAUUAAACAAGAUAAGAGUUUUUGGUGGAUGCCUUGGGUCUGAAGUCGAUGAGGAGA
rnacentral:misc_RNA from 1 species